CACUAAACUCACUUAAAAAAAACAACCAGGAGAGACAGCUGGUAAGAUAUCUAAGAAUGCUGAUACUUCUGAGAAGGGGAGUGAGACACGGGUCAUUUGUAAAAAUAGCAGAAACCCUGUCUGUAACUUCAGCAACGUUCAACUUUUGUAUUUAAAAGGGUCCUUGGAGGCUGCGGCUUUCGUGCCCAUACCCCAGCUCCCAGGGAGCCUGGGAAAAUAAGCUCAUUGUGUCGGAAGGCCUUGAAAGGGAAAGGCGGCUUGCGGGAGGACGGGAGGAGGGGAAGAGCAAGAGCCCAGCUUGAAAACGCAUGGAACGAACUAGAAAACAAACACGUACCUACCCCGGCACGCACACAGGCCCUUAAACUCUGCCUGAACUCCGAAAUCUGAGACCAAGCUGGUUUGGGAGCCACUGCUCACUUUUCUUCUUCUUCUCCCCCCUCCCAUUUUUUUUUUUAAAGUCAUCGUUUUGUUUUCAAUUACCUCCUCCUUUGUAAGGAGGAAGAGAAAAAUCAGCAAAGUUUUGUGCGCGCGUGUGCGUGUCUCGCAGGCAGCUCAGGAAGAGCGAGCUGUCAAAAGCCCAGCCCAGUGUCUGGCUUUCUUGGUCCUGGAGGAGGGCGAGUGGUGCUCCCCAGCCGACGAAUUCCUCCCCCGAGCAGCUGCACGGUGAGCCCAGCGCUGGAAUCUCCCCGGGCCUUGCCUGUCCUUUCACUCCGAAAAUAUCACGCCUAAGGGGAGGGGAAGUGGUUUGGACAAAAUAAGAUUUGACCUGAGCAUCUGCCCAGAACUGAAACCAAGCGUCUGCCUGCCAGAAUUGUUGGCUUUCGAUAAAGCUCUGAUCAUUUCUCUUGCCACCUGCCCAUCUUCAAGCAUGUCUGCGCUUUACGGGCCCACCCGGAAACACCAAUCUGUCGUGAAACAGGCCAUGCGUACAGCUCCUCAGCUGGACUCUGAAAACAUGCAGAAAAGCACAUUUUCAACUAUCCAGGCCCAUUUUUACAGAUAAGCGCUCCAAUAAACAAGGUCUGUGUUACCCUGCCCUGUGCUCUUCUGCCAGUCUCUUUCCCCUCUCUUUUUUUUUUUUUUCUCUUUUUGUCUCUUUCUUCCAUCUUUUUCACACUUUCAAAUAUGUCUUCUCCUCCCCGCUCAGAAAGAAGAAAAGUCCUCAGAAGUGCAGUUAUGGGGGUGCCCCCCCUCUGCUUAGCACCCUGUCCUAUUUCCUGAAGCUCUGACCCUUGGCCACCACCACACCCACACGUGGCGAUGGACAGCAGGCUCCCUCACAAAGAAAGAUGUUUCCUUUUCCCCUCUCCAGCAUAAUGCUGGAAGCAUUCCCAUUAGUGAGGUGCUAUAAAGAUGACUGCAAGAUCACAAGGCCCUAAAGCAAAGAUUAAGUCACUUUGGGCAAUAACGUUGUUGUCACACCUAGGGAAAUGACAAUGGGGCCAUUGUGUAACAGAUCAGGUAGAGAUACUACAAAUUUCCUAAGAAACCCAGAUUAAAACUGGAGCAGUAUGAUGCCUUGGAAGCAGUAAAUGUUAUGUAAAGUUGGAAAAGAUACUGAUAUUGUGGAAAACGUCACAGUGCUUUACAUUCUUAAGUGGUAUCAGGGCGAACAAUUUAUUUUCAUCCCUAUUCUUACAUGUAUAGCCCCAGUAACAAAACUUCGGAGAGCCCAGCCGAAAGGAUGGCUGUAGGGCCAGGGGAAAGGACUCUGAGGAAGUUCAACCAAUCUCAGCAACAUCCUCUGGCAACAACUUCAAAAGGUUUCACGGAGCAGAGCGCCCACAAGCAGAUGAAAUGAGACCCUUCAUGCACCAUUUACUGCACUUGACAGGGAAGAACUGCCAGGUUUCAGAAAACACAGCCACCUCCUCUCUCUGCUCUUCUAAACAACUCCGGUGCUACCAGCUCCAGCUCCCUGCGCUGCAAACGUUUUCAGAGCCAUCAAUCAGGUGAAAACCCUGUUCCCUAUGCACACACUGGGCUUGAAACCAUUACGGGCUGGCUCUGCUCCCACAGCCAGCUGGAGACAGAGGUGCUUCAAAUGCGUUCUACGGGAAAGGAAAUACAAACCCCACCUUCGGUGGUUUUUAAUUAAAAAAAAAAUCUCAAGCCUCAUUGGUUCUCAGGAAAACAUGGACUUGGCUCAUGUUUAAAGUGAUAGUGUGGAAAUAAAAUUAGUGUUUUAACAAAUUCCCUUCCCUCUGUUACCAGGACUGCUAACAAAAGGGCUGUUCACUGUAAAAAUAAGACUUUCUGGUCACUGGGAGGCAGGUAUUUUGGGCUUAAAAGACGAGUGAAUUCAGUUAUGAAUUGACUCCUCUUGCUAGGAACUUGCACCUAUCUUUUUACAGUCCUGCAUUUCUUUGAAAUCAGUUCUGGACUAUUCCAGGGACAGUCAGCUCUGUUAGGCUGGAUAACAAACAGAUAGCAAAGUAAUUGCGCCAGAUGGCAGAGAGCAGCUAGUGAGGAAUUGAAUGCCACUUAUCCAAAUGGUAGAUCAUUUCCUGACAACUAUCAUCUCUAUAGAGAUAGAGGAGGAUAUAUUCUUGUGAGUGGAAAAUAAACUGGAACGGAAACAAGGUUCCUUGGUUGGGGUGCAAACUGUGAUAAUGGUAAUUUUUCUGUAGUGUCCCAUUGAACAGAAAUUAAAUACGUGACAUGUCUCA